rnacentral:rRNA from 1 species
UACGGAGGGGGCGAGCGUUAUUCGGAAUUACUGGGCGUAAAGGGCGCGUAGGCGGCCUGUUAAGUCGAACGUGAAAUCCCCGGGCUCAACCCGGGAACUGCGUCCGAUACUGGCAGGCUUGAAUCCGGGAGAGGGAUGCGGAAUUCCAGGUGUAGCGGUGAAAUGCGUAGAUAUCUGGAGGAACACCGGUGGCGAAGGCGGCAUCCUGGACCGGCAUUGACGCUGAGGCGCGAAAGCCAGGGGAGCAAACGGG